GGCGACACAAUGAGCACAAUUGAGAUCUCAGACAUCCAAGGAAGGAUUAGCAGCACAAACUCUCAAGCCUGGCAAAGGCGAAAGCUCUUAGGCGGCUACUGCGAAUGUUUUGAGAAACAAGCCUUUGGAGUUGUCAUCAUUGACAUUGAGACACAAAAUUUAGACAAACAAUAGUAACACCUAAAUCAAAAUAAAAUAUACCAUAAAGAUACAUUCUAAUUACAUUAAGAAUUUUGAAGGCCAAUCAAGAGGUAUGCAAAUAUAAUAAGCUGGUUUUCCAGACUAGAACACAAUAGCUAUCAGCAUGUAACAUUAGGUAUAUGUUCACACAGCCAAUAAAUUCUGAGGAGCAUUCAACUUAAAAAAGCUGGCUUUAGAGACUAGAACACAAUAGCUGUCAAGAUGUUACACUGGGUAUAUGUUCACAUAGCCAACUAAGUUAAGAAAGCAUUCAACUUUAAGAGAUAAAACAACAAAAAAUUUCUCAUACAGAGUAACUCAAGUCUCAGACAUCCAAGGAAGGAUUAGCAGCACAAGCUCUCAAGCCUGGCGAAGGCGAAAGCUCUUAGGCGGCUACUGCGAAUGUUUUGAGAAACUAGCCUUUGGAUUUAGCAUCAUUGACCCUUUGCUAACAGUUUUAUAAGCUCGAUAAACAUCAAUGCAGGCACUUACAAGGAGUAUCAGUUACAUUUGGCCCCAACAUAAACAGGAAAAAAAAAAAGAAGAGUGUGUCAUUCUUAGACAAUUCAUGUCAGACAUGCAAACUGCAAAUGAUUUGAGAAACAAGCCUUCCGAGUUGGGAUCAGUGGGAACAGUUCAGGAUUAUAAGUAGCAUUUUAAAAGGCUAGUAGGGCCUACACUGUCUACAAGUUAGUCUUCUCUUGAGGCUCAAGGCUAACUUGAUUCAACCUUUUAUAAAAUAAAGACUUAAUCAACUUCCAAUUAAGCUUUUGAGUGGAAGGGAAAAAGAGUUUGAGAACAAAGAAUAGGAGAAUUAUUGAUUAUCUUAGUAUCUAAUAUAUAAUCAUUAUUUUAUUUUUAAGAGGCAAUAAAAAAUUUCAGUUAGUGAACAAAGAAAUAUCAAUAUCUAUGGAGGGGGAGGAAAAUAUAGCAAUUGCAUAUGAUUAUAUUUCUCAAAAGGAUCCCAUUUGUGAUAACACUAAUGUUUAAAAAUAUUUGAUGAUAUGAGAGAACGAGCUUAAUUUUAUAAGAGAGAAAAAGGAACUAAAUUAUAAGCUACAAACCAUGACAAAAAAUUAAUUUCAUUCCUCUAAUGUUUGUGUUCUUUAUUAUUCAAUUUUCUUGUGUGUGCACGUGUUUUUCUAAUCUUUUGAUAUUGACUUGUUUAAGUUGAGGCUUAAACACAUUGUUCUACCUCCAGGCUUAAAAAGCCUCAAGACCCUUUAGCUUCUUAAAAGCUUGGUUGUGACUAAGUGAUUAAUUCAGCAAAAAAUAAUACUAUAUGAUCACCUAGAAUAAACAAGAUAGUAACAAGGAUAAUAGUCAUAGACAUAACGAAUAAUUUAAUUGAAUUGAAAGUUCUAAAAAUUCCAUCCUAAACAAAACAGAUCAAGUUGACAAGGAUCAAAUACCAGCAUAAACAAUCUGCAAUUGGUAUAUGUGGGCGACACAAUGAGCACAAUUGAGAUCUCAGACAUCCAAGGAAGGAUUAGCAGCACAAACUCUCAAGCCUGGCAAGGGCGAAAGCUCUUAGGCGGCUACUGCGAAUGUUUUGAGAAACAAGCCUUUGGAGUUGUCAUCAUUGACAUUGAGACACAAAAUUUUAGACAAACAAUAGUAACACCUAAAUCAAAAUAAAAUAUACCAUAAAGAUACAUUCUAAUUACAUUAAGAAUUUUGAAGGCCAAUCAAGAGGUAUGCAAAUAUAAUAAGCUGGUUUUCCAGACUAGAACACAAUAGCUAUCAGCAUGAACAUUAG
rnacentral:lncRNA from 1 species